rnacentral:rRNA from 1 species
CCUACGGGAGGCAGCAGUGAGGAAUAUUGGUCAAUGGACGAGAGUCUGAACCAGCCAAGUCGCGUGAAGGAUGACUGCUCUCUGGGUUGUAAACUUCUUUUAUAAAGGAAUAAAACGAGGCACGUGUGCCUUUUUGCAUGUACUUUAUGAAUAAGAAUCGGCUAACUCCGUGCCAGCAGCCGCGGUAAUACGGAGGAUACGAGCGUUAUCCGGAUUUAUUGGGUUUAAAGGGAGCGUAGGUGGAUUGGUAAGUCAGUUGUGAAAGUUUGCGGCUCAACCGUAAAAUUGCAUUUGAAACUGGCAGUCUAGAGUGCAGUAGAGGUGGGCGGAAUUCGUGGUGUAGCGGUGAAAUGCUUAGAUAUCACGAAGAACACCGAUUGCGAAGGCAGUUCACUGGACUGCAACUGACACUGAGGCUCGAAAGUGUGGGUAUCAAACAGGAUUAGAUACCCUGGUAGUC